rnacentral:lncRNA from 1 species
AAACACGUCUUCACACAUGCAGGCAAAGGCUUUCCUGCACGUUUAAGCUUAUUCCUUCAUGUGGGAAAGGAUUCUAAGUGUGGGUACUCCUCUUUGCACAUGUGGCUAUCCAUGCAUGUGAAUGAGGAGGUUCACGUGCAACAUGUGGUGUCCUCCACUUCCCAAGCCCAUCUUGAAUGUCUUGGCCUUAUUUUCCUUUUUGGGAUGAAAUAGGAAAUGAGCUAGAACCCUCAUUGGUUUCCUCUUAGGUGUUUGGGCCGUGAGUCUCCAAAUUAAGUAAGAAGUCCUUGUAGGUUUGGGAUUCCCCAGGGAAUUUCCCUUGGUAUUAUUUACUGGUACGCAACAGUCUUCAAGUCCACGACUAAUGUCCUUUGCCAUGUUCGGAUUCACAUCAUUAUACCUCUAUGAGUUGGUCACUUCAUCCUGAAUAUAUAAUCAA